GACGAACGCUGGCGGCGUGCCUAAUACAUGCAAGUAGAACGCUGAAGAGAGGAGCUUGCUCUUCUUGGAUGGGUUGCGAACGGGUGAGUAACGCGUAGGUAACCUGCCUGGUAGCGGGGGAUAACUAUUGGAAACGAUAGCUAAUACCGCAUAAUAGUAGAUGUUGCAUGACAUUUGCUUAAAAGGUGCAAUUGCAUCACUACCAGAUGGACCUGCGUUGUAUUAGCUAGUUGGUGAGGUAACGGCUCACCAAGGCAACGAUACAUAGCCGACCUGAGAGGGUGAUCGGCCACACUGGGACUGAGACACGGCCCAGACUCCUACGGGAGGCAGCAGUAGGGAAUCUUCGGCAAUGGACGGAAGUCUGACCGAGCAACGCCGCGUGAGUGAAGAAGGUUUUCGGAUCGUAAAGCUCUGUUGUAAGAGAAGAACGAGUGUGAGAGUGGAAAGUUCAC
rnacentral:rRNA from 1 species